GUGCCAGCAGCCGCGGUAAUACGAACUGUGCGAACGUUAUUCGGAAUCACUGGGCUUACAGGGUGCGUAGGCGGCCGAUCAGGUCCGAUGUGAAAUCCCACAGCUCAACUGUGGAAUGGCAUUGGAAACCGACCGGCUCGAGUGAGCUAGAGAUGUACGGAACUUCCGGUGGAGCGGUGAAAUGUGUUGAGAUCGGAAGGAACACCAGAGGCGAAAGCGGUACAUUGGGGCUUGUCUGACGCUGAGGCACGAAAGCUAGGGGAGCGAACGGGAUUAGAUACCCCGGUAGUCCUGGCUGUAAACGAUCAGUACUAGACGGAGGGGGGCUUGCCCUUCUCGGUCGUAGCGAAAGCGAUAAGUACUGCGCCUGGGGAGUAUGGUCGCAAGGCUGAA
rnacentral:rRNA from 1 species